AGCCUGCUAGCUCAGUCGGUUAGAGCGUCGUGCUAAUAACGCGAAGGUCGUAGGUUCGAUCCCUGCGCAGGCCA
rnacentral:tRNA from 2 species